CCCGCCUAGCCCAGAGCCGAAAGACUAUAGCGAUAUCGAAGAUGAAUGUUGCAAACCUCAUCUGCUAAAUGUCCCAAAGUAUGCCAACAAGGCGCUGGAGCACUACAACAGCCAUGACAAGCACGAGAUCAAGUAUCAGCUCAUCGAAGCCAUCGUCAGCUGCGAAAUUAUGUAUGAUGGUGUCUACCAGCAUGUGAAUUUCACCGCAAAAGGCACUUUGGAGAAUUCAAAAGAGGAGUUCUUCUUUGCGGAGCUACGAUAUGAUCAUGAUAUACAUGCUUGGGUACCUGUAUGCAUAGUUGCUCUAGAAGUAAACGAGAGAGUAGGUGGGUUUGCGGAGCUCAUAAGCGACGGUGGUGUUGAUCCCCGACAUUGUUUUGGUUGUCAAGAUAUAGUGAAGCACCCGCUGGAUGGAUCCUUAUAUGAGGCUGGUCAUUAUCUAGUUGAGAAUGCCUUCCUUCAUAGAUAUAUUGAAGUACUUCCAGCAACUCAACCGUGUGAUCUGCAAGAACAAUACUAGUCAUGUAGUAACACAGUGCGGGUUCGAUGAUGUUUCUUCUCCGACAAGUUUGGCUUGGCAAAGCAGCGGAUCUGGGAUCCAAGCGGCGUUUCGACAUGCCACAGAGAAGAGCGUGGUGCUUCUUCAGUCGGUGGAUAUUCCAGCAUUGGAAGAUCCACGGGAGUGUUGUGUUUUUUCCUUCUUUUUCAGGGUAUUGUUAGUUGUCCAUUCUCCCUCUGUCCAUAGUGCUGUCGCAUGCGUGCCGUGUAAUCAUCUACGGAAUGGACAAGCGUUUUAAUUGUCUCUAAUGGAAUGGACACGUGAUAACUUUCUACAAAAAAUACUAGUCAUAUAGCAAGGAAUGACUUUUAGGUAUAUUAUAGCAAGACUGAUUGUUGUUUAUGUACGA